GACGUAGGGUGCGAGCGUUGUCCGGAAUUACUGGGCGUAAAGAGCUUGUAGGUGGUUUGUCGCGUUGUUCGUGAAAACUCACAGCUCAACUGUGGGCGUGCGGGCGAUACGGGCAGACUAGAGUACUGCAGGGGAGACUGGAAUUCCUGGUGUAGCGGUGGAAUGCGCAGAUAUCAGGAGGAACACCGGUGGCGAAGGCGGGUCUCUGGGCAGUAACUGACGCUGAGAAGCGAAAGCGUGGGGAGCGAACAGG
rnacentral:rRNA from 1 species